UAAUACGUAGGAGGCGAACGUUAUUCGGAUUUACUGGGCGUAAAGGGAGCGUAGGCGGUUCUUCAAGUCAGGUGUGAAAUCUUCUGACUCAAUCAGAAGGCGCCAUCUGAUACUGAUGGACUUGAGAGCGACAGAGGGAAAUGGAAUCCCCAGUGUAGCGGUGGAAUGCGUAGAUAUUGGGGAGAACACCAGUGGCGAAGGCGAUUUCCCAGGUUGUUUCUGACGCUGAGGCUCGAAAGCGUGGGGAGCGAAGCGGAUUAGAUACCCGCGUAGUCCACGCCGUAAACGGUGGACACUAGAUAUAGGAGGUAUCGACCCUUUCUGUGUCGAAGCUAACGCUUUAAGUGUCCCGCCUGGGGAGUACGGCCGCAAGGCUA
rnacentral:rRNA from 1 species